rnacentral:lncRNA from 1 species
UUACCACUGCGUAUUUCAGAUAUUGCUUAUUGUUAUUGAAUUGUGUUGUUAGGUGAACCUCUCGCUUUAGAUUGUUUGGGGUGGGAUAGGGAGGGGUUGUAUUUGUUAGUUGAAGAUUGUAACUCGCUGAGUAAUGCUAGAUUACUCACUCCUCACUCGUUGUUGUUUUCAGGUGAUCAGUAGUGAGCUUGUAGAAGGCGCGGGAGGCUAGGCUAGCUGGUGUACUUUCGCUUUCUUGGCAUGCCACCAGUUGUAUAAUAUUUUGUGUAUUGUAAACCAGAUAUUAUAUAAAAUAAAUAAAGCGAAUGUUUUAUGCAAAUGCCUUGUUGUUCUGAUAUUAGCUUGUCCGAGCUAACACAAAAUGUCAGAUUAGAGUACGGGUUGAGAAGCCUUAGGCUUUUGUCUGACGGGACGUGUUAGUGGGUGGCUGGCCUAGUUACGAAUUGCACCUUUUAUAACUUUGGCUGGAUUGCCCGUUAACCCGUCUUGUAGUGCUCUUGAACCUUGGUAGACGGUCGGGCCGUCGGUCAUGUUCUUGUUUGAUUGUUGGCCGGUGGUUCGACCUAUGCCUAGAACGGGUCGGGGGUGUUACAGAGGUGGUAUCAGAGCAUGGUUUCGUCCAUGCGUGACUCAAGUGCUUUUUAACGGUUUUAUCGAGUCAAAGGAGUCGCAAAAAGAUGAUUAGGAAACCAGCCGCUUCCCGUGGUAGGAAUAUGACUUACCCUUUUUAUUAUGUGCAGAUGGCUAAUCGCGGGACAGGUUAUGUUGGACGAGGUCGGAUAUGGGGAGAGGGUAUGGAUUGGACAGGCGGAGGAUUGGGUCACAGAUCAGAUCAGGAUAAUGGAAAUGGCAUUAGUGAGAUGUUUGGACACG